rnacentral:rRNA from 1 species
AGCGAACGCUGGCGGCAGGCUUAACACAUGCAAGUCGAACGGGCGUAGCAAUACGUCAGUGGCAGACGGGUGAGUAACGCGUGGGAACGUACCUUUUGGUUCGGAACAACUGAGGGAAACUUCAGCUAAUACCGAAUAAGCCCUUACGGGGAAAGAUUUAUCGCCGAAAGAUCGGCCCGCGUCUGAUUAGCUUGUUGGUGAGGUAACGGCUCACCAAGGCGACGAUCAGUAGCUGGUCUGAGAGGAUGAUCAGCCACAUUGGGACUGAGACACGGCCCAAACUCCUACGGGAGGCAGCAGUGGGGAAUAUUGGACAAUGGGCGAAAGCCUGAUCCAGCCAUGCCGCGUGAGUGAUGAAGGCCCUAGGGUUGUAAAGCUCUUUUGUGCGGGAAGAUAAUGACGGUACCG